rnacentral:rRNA from 1 species
CCUGGCGGCUGCUUACCAUGCAAGUCACGGGGGCCCGCAAGGGCAACCGGCGAACGGGUGCGUAACACGUGAACAACCUGCCCUCGUGUGGGGGAUAGCCAUGCUAACGCGUGGGUAAUACCGCAUACGUUCCUCUGGGGGAGUCCCUGGGGGAGGAAAGCUCCGGCGCACGGGGAGGGGUUCGCGGCCUAUCAGCUAGUUGGCGGGGUAAUGGCCCACCAAGGCGACGACGGGUAGCUGGUCUGAGAGGAUGGCCAGCCACAUUGGGACUGAGAGACGGCCCAGACUCCUACGGGAGGCAGCAGUGGGGAAUCUUGCGCAAUGGCCGAAAGGCUGACGCAGCGACGCCGCGUGUGGGAUGAAGCAUUUCGGUGUGUAAACCACUGUUGCCCGGGACGAACAGCCUUUUUCGAGAGGUCUGACGGUACCGGGUGAGAAAGCACCGGCUAACUCCGUGCCAGCAGCCGCGGUAAU